AACGCGAAGAACCUUACCCAGAUUUGACAUUCAGAGGACGAUACUAGAGAUAGUAUUUCCCUUCGGGGCCUUUGAACAGGUGCUGCAUGGCUGUCGUCAGCUCGUGCCGUGAGGUGUUUGGUUAAGUCCAGCAACGAGCGCAACCCUUAUCAUUAGUUGCCAACAUUUAAGGUGGGAACUCUAAUGAGACUGCCUGGGUUAACCAGGAGGAAGGUGAGGAUGACGUCAAGUCCGCAUGGCCCUUAUAUCUGGGGCUACACACGUGCUACAAUGGUCGGUACAGAAGGCAGCGAAGCCGCGAGGUGGAGCAAAUCCCAAAAGCCGAUCUCAGUUCAGAUUGUAGUCUGCAACUCGACUACAUGAAGACGGAAUUGCUAGUAAUGGCAGGUCAGCAACACUGCCGUGAAUACGUUCCCGGGCCUUGUACACACCGGUACUA
rnacentral:rRNA from 1 species